rnacentral:rRNA from 1 species
GGGUUCUACCGUCGGUCGGGCUAACAAGUCUGUACUGGCGUGUAGAAUUUCUACCUUCUGGGGAACUAUCAUGUUAUUAAUUUAGCGUGGUGGGAAACCAGGACCUUUACCUUGAAAAAAUUAGAGUGUUCAAAGCAGGCUUACGUCUGAAUACAUUAGCAUGGAAUAAUAGAAUAGGACGGUGGUCCUGUUUUGUUGGUUUCUGAAUCACCGUA